rnacentral:tRNA from 1 species
GGGCGAUUAGCUCAGCGGGAGAGCACUUCCUUGACGUGGAAGGGGUCAGUGGUUCGAUUCCACUAUCGCCCACCA